AUGAAGCUGUAAUUGAUGUCUCAUCCUGAUAUUCUUGAUGUCUAUAGUUGGUUUUGGACACCUUAAUAUCAACUGAAGUGACUUCGUGCAGUCAAGGGUCUUCUACCCUCUUUUGUUAGUUGAAGCAUGAAAUAAAGAUUGGUCUCAUACCCAAUAGAACCGCAA